CUGGAAUGGGACAUGGCAGUUUCCAAGUCGGCGGAGAUAUAUGACGUGGAGGCAGAUGCGUGGGGCCCUGCAGAGGCGCUGGGAUCGUCUAAGUUUAGUGGUGAGGCAAUCAGCGCUGUGGGCGUUGGGGGCAGUCUUCAUAUGGUGAGUGGGAAGGGCGUAAUGAUCAAGGACGGGGCGGUUUAUGAUCCCUCUCGUCGGGUUUGGUCUUAAGAUGAGCCCUGCUCUUCUGGGUGGCUGGGACGGGCCCUGCGUUGGAAUGGGUGGGCGGUUCUAUUCUAUUAAUGAAUCGGGCGGAAGUGGAAGGCUGAAGGCCUACGUUUCGGAGGAGUCGUGGUGGGUGACCGUUGUGGAGAGUGAGCUGUUGAGCGGGGUGUCACAGUUGGUGGGUUCGCGAGGGAAGAUAUGCGGGAUAAAUUGAGGCGAAGAGGGGGAGAAAAGGAUUAUGGUUGUGGACGUUGUGUGUAAGCGGGUUAUGGAAGUGGAGACUCCCAUUGGCCUCCCCGUUGCAAUCCAGCUUUUCCAAAUACUGAAUUACAACAGAAUCAGAAAAGCGAGAGGAGCCGUUAAAAAAUUAAUGGUGGAGACUCGAUCGUAUUGAGUGGAGCUUCUAGUGGGUACAAGAGUAGGUUAAGAAUUGGUUUCUCUUUCGUUGGCUGUCUGAAGAAGAUCUUUAUAUGCAGGUUGACGUUAAAGGCUACAAUACAAACUUUAAUCAAAGUAGUUUCGAAUAUACUCGUGAGUUGUACAUUUAUAAUGUUUCUUGAAGAUCUUU